GGGGGCAUCCCCGGGUAACCAAAGCCUUUAUGUGCUGAAAGAUGGGUCUCGCGUCUGAUUAGCUAGAUGCGGGGUAACGGCCCACCAUGGCGACGGAUCAGUAGCCGGUCUGAGAGGAUGAACGGCCACAUUGGGGACUGAGAUAGGCCCAGACUCCUACGGGAGGCAGCAGUGGGGAAUAUUGGGCAAUGGGGGAAACCCUGACCCAGCAACGCCGCGUGAAGGAAGAAGGCCUUCGGGUUGUAAACUUCUUUUAGUAGGGACGAAUACGUGACGGUACCUACAGAAAAAGCAACGGCUAACUACGUG
rnacentral:rRNA from 1 species